CCCACACCUCUCAGAGAGAGGAACUGAGGUGGUUGUUCUGAGAGGCAGUGAGCAGGGAGACCCCGAAGCCAAAGGCUGGCAGGAUCCAGCAGGGCAGAGGCCAGCAGGGGAAUUCAGGGAAGAGCCUCAGGGCUGACAAUGGGGACACCUGACUACAGUCAAGGGGAUUCAAAGCACAGCCUGGAACCUGGAGGAAUCCCCUGGAACAUGGACACAGAAAUGCGGACAGCUGAAGCCAUGACCUUGACCACAGGUGAACACACAGUGUUCAUCCCCUCAGGAGGACACAGCUUUUGAGGUACCAUCUUGGAAGCAGAGACCAGACCUCACUAGACACAAACUUCCUGGCACCUUGAUUUUGGACUUCAUAGCCUCUAGAACUGUGAGAAAUAAAUUUUUAUUAUUUAUAAAUUACCCUGUAUUGGAUAUUUUGUUAUAGCAGCAGAAAAGGUCUAAGACAAUGACUGAAGGACAGAGCUAUAGGACUCAAAAGACCCUGGUCUUGAAGCCAGAAAGACCUGGCUUUGCCAGUAGCAUGGUAUUUCAAUUAAGUAUGAUUAAACACUCUUCGAGGGAAUAGAAAGGGGAAGGAAGAAUGGAGAUGGAUCAUUUGUUUCAUGCCUUUUACUUACGUGUAAGGAAUUAUGAGCAGGUGCCUAUGGAUUUUGGAAUAUGCUUCUAUAACACUAUAAAAAUUAGAAAGUGAAACUUAUAGGCACAAAUGUCAGUUUAAAAUUUCUAAUGACAAUGGAAGAAAUUAUUUAGACUCUCUCCUAAACUAUUACACCAUACAUCAUUGCAAAACAUUUUUUUUCAUUUUGCCCAACCUCCACUCCUGUCAUUCCACCACUCCUAUAGUAUCUAAAAUAUAGUUUCUUUUAGAGAGAUUGGUGCACCACUCAACUUGUCAGCUUGAGGGCUUUGAAUGGUGUUUUCUUUUUUUUUUUUUUUAAUUUCAUGGCAAGCUGACUUACAAGUGACUCAACUGUAAGCUAAGACUUAUUAAUAGCAUGGUUUAACCACCAAAGAUAAUGAAUUCAAACAAUGUUACUUACAGCCUUUAAUGUCACAGCCCCUAAAAACAUUGAAAUGUACAUUUUUCACCUGCUAGUCAUCUUCAGUAUUCUGGAGAGGAAAUAUUCUUUCCUGUCCUUACAGUGGUUGUAUAUCUUAAAAGAGGACUAUAUGACACUUGAAUAUUGAUAUUCAACCUUAACCAAAGCAGUCACAAGAAUACAAGCCAUUGGCCUCUGGCCUUUUAGAUAUGUUCCCAACAAGUUCAUGUGUACCCCAUGAAAAAU
rnacentral:lncRNA from 1 species